rnacentral:lncRNA from 1 species
CCUGAGUUCCUCCGCGGCGCCUUCGUGGGCGACACGCGAUUCCUGAGCUUCCACAGCCGCGGCGAGAAUCAGAGGCUGGGUGGUGGCUCCGGACAGGAGCUUCCUCGAAGGACACUUUAAGUCCGCCUACGACAAGGAGAUUUCAUGUCCCUGAACGAGGACCUGCAGACCUGGACAGCGGCUCAAAGAGCGGCUUGGAGGAUCCAUCACACCUGGGAGAGGUUCUGGACCGCGGAGGCCACAAGGGAAGCCCCGAUGGGUCACUGCACUAGGUGGCUGCUCAGACACCUGGAGGAUGGCAAGGAG